UUGAUAAUAUCAAAGGUGAAAUAAUGUAUUACUCAAGCCAUUGCAUGCAAUAAUCAAUUAUUUGAAAGACAUCAAGAAAAAGACUUGGCUAGAGAUGAUCAAUAUAAAUAAAGACAAUAGCUCUUAAGUUUUCAAAAAUUUAUUCAUCAAAGAUACAACCGAUGUAAAUUAAUUGAAUAUAUUUUAAAUUUCUUAUAAAGUAGGAAAAGACUUAAUAAUAUGAAGAAGGCUUAUAUUUAUAUUAU
rnacentral:lncRNA from 1 species